rnacentral:rRNA from 1 species
UACGGAGGAUCCAAGCGUUAUCCGGAUUUAUUGGGUUUAAAGGGUGCGUAGGCGGCCUAUUAAGUCAGUGGUGAAAGCCUGCAGCUUAACUGCAGAACUGCCAUUGAUACUGAUGGGCUUGAGUAUAGUAGGGGUAGAGGGAAUUUCCAGUGGAGCGGUGAAAUGCGUAGAUAUUGGAAAGAACACCGAUGGCGAAGGCACUCUACUGGGCUAUUACUGACACUCAGAGACGAAAGCUAGGGGAGCAAAUGGG